AGACUCUCCUAACGGUCUAACAAACUCUGUAACGACCUCAUCAUCCCCUCUAUAAAUAGAGAGUUAUAGAUCCUCCAUCAGUAAGUCUAACUCAUGAAAAUUAGAAAAAACUCUGUUAGUAGAAAAUUAAGCCGGACCCUUGGCUCCUAUUGAGUUCUUCUCCAGUUUCACUCAAUUUCUCUUGCUUUUCUACUUUUUUUCACCUUUGUUCUCAAGGGUCGAACUCACUU
rnacentral:lncRNA from 1 species